rnacentral:rRNA from 1 species
CUGAGGACUAGAGAUAAUGGUGCGAUAACUUCGUUACUGUUAUUUCUGCCUAAAAAGACAGUGCUAGGCAUUGGUGCUCUUAAUUGAGUGCUUUUGCUGCCUGUCAAGUUUACUUUGAAAAAAUUAGAGUGCUCAAAGCAGGCGCUUUGCCUGAAUAGUGGUGCAUGGAAUAAUGGAAUAAGAUCUUCGGAUCUAUUUUGUUGGUUUUCGGAAGCCGAGGUAAUGAUUAAGAGAGACAGACGGGGGCAUUCGUAUUGUGGUGUUAGAGGUGAAAUUC